rnacentral:rRNA from 1 species
CCUACGGGAGGCAGCAGUGAGGAAUAUUGGUCAAUGGACGAGAGUCUGAACCAGCCAAGUAGCGUGAAGGAUGACUGCCCUAUGGGUUGUAAACUUCUUUUAUAAAGGAAUAAAACGAGGCACGUGUGCCUUUUUGCAUGUACUUUAUGAAUAAGGAUCGGCUAACUCCGUGCCAGCAGCCGCGGUAAUAAGGAGGAUCCGAGCGUUAUCCGGAUUGCUUGGGUUUAAAGGGAGCGUAGAUGGGUUGUUAAGUCAGUUGUGAAAGUUUGCGGCUCAACCGUAAAAUUGCAAUUGAUACUGGCAGUCGUGAGUACAGUUGAGGUAGGCGGAAUUCGUGGUGUAGCGGUGAAAUGCUUAGAUAUCACGAAGAACCCCGAUUGCGAAGGCAGCUUACUAAACUGUGACUGACAUUGAUGCUCGAAAGUGUGGGUAUCAAACAGGAUUAGAUACCCGAGUAGUC